AAGUUUACAAAUUUGUGUUGGACCACAUUCAAAGCUGUCCUGGGUGGCAUGAGAACCAUGGGCUGAGGAUUGGACAAGCUUGCUCUACAAUAUUCACAGAGCCAGAUUUCCUUCUGCACCAGAGCCUGUGGAAGCGCCACAGUGGAAGCAGCAGAGACUGGAAGAGCAGGCAAGAAGCUGGGAGCUUUGCACUGAACCAGGAAGUCACCACAGCUCUUAGGCAAAGACCCGGAAAGGUGUCAACAUGGCCACACUACUGCUCCCACCUUGUCCUUACUUUCCUCAUCUCAUCCCACAGGCCACAGAUCAGCCCUGGGGUUCAGAGGGAUCCUGACAGCUACUCCUCAAGAUCCUCUCUGUUGUGAUUCAUCCCCCCGGGGCCCUACAGUUUCUCCUUCCUGACUCUUACAUUUCUUUGGAUGGCAUCAUUAUUUACCUGUCUCCUCCCAUAGUUAGGUGCCAAGCACUGUGGAUUCUGCCUCUCAGUGUCCAGACACCCAUUUUCCUUCCCACUGUUCCUUCCCCAUGGAGAAGCCUGUGGCUGGCUGACAGCAGAGAGAGAUGCUCAACUUGGAGAAGGUGUUACCUGGGCCAGGUGGGGAAGGUUUGUUUGCAGAGCAAAGAAGUGAAGGAAGUAUUAACCCUUUGCAUGGCCUCCUGAGAAUCCGACAAGACGUAAAUAGCCAAGAAUAUCUGUGAAACUUCAUCACUGAGUUACAAUAUUUAUCACUGCAAGUGUGUUGUUCAUUGACACUAUAAAGCCAUGUGGAAUUAAGCAGCCUUGAAACACAAAAUGGAGAAAGGCUAAGAGCUGAGAAUUGUUGCCUUCAGGGAAAUACAAUC
rnacentral:lncRNA from 10 species